AUUAGGGGUGUAUGUAUGAUAGAGAAGUGUGUGUGUUUAUAAAUACAAUCUUCAAUUUCCUCAGUCUUGUUCUACACAAUCCCCAUUCAUUUUGAUGAAGCUUGUGCAGAAUGAGCACACAACUAUCCUAAACUAGAUCACAGGGAUUUCCACUAACAGUCAAGACUGUUAUGCAAUAUCCACGAAAUAAUGCUUUGUUAGCUCACACCCCUGAGCAAAGCAAUCCUUUCCAGAAACAAGCACUCCACCAUUUUUGCAAAUGAACUUUGAUUCUUUCUUUAUAGGAUACAAUAUUUUCCUUCAUUAAAUCCAUGUAAACGCCACUGAAAUAGUAAGAGUUUACAUUUAUUCAUGCACACAUGAAAGUGUGUUUUGCUUGAAACAUUGCUAAAAAAUAUUGGUUUGGAGCCAAAGAUCAAACUCUUCAUUUCAAUGGAUCCUGACAAGAGCUAUUCCCAAAUAAUAAGAAGAAAGUAUUUCUGACUCUACAUACCACCAGGACUUUCAGAACUAAGUGAUUCUGGUAUGAAGACUCCAAUCUAUGGUUUUCUGAAAUUUAGCCAAAAAAAUCGCAAUUAACGAAACAUACAUAAAUGCAAAGCACAAUAGAUGCAAAUUAUGUUAAGCACAAUUGUUAUUAUUACUAUUAUUAUCAUUAUCAUCAUCAUUUUCAUUAUUAUAUAUUCUUUAUUGAAAGAUAAAAAGCAAUGUGUAUAUAACUAAGUACACAGGGUAAAAUAUGUGGGAUGUAAUCCUUGUAGCAGUCAAAUACAACAUUCCUUGUUUCCCUAGAGUGGACACAAGACAGGGGAUGUUGAUCCAGGCUGUCGAACUUCCUGUUCCACCUGUCUGGAGCAUCCUCCCCCUGCAUGUGACCAGGUAGGUGGGCGUGACCCUGGCAGCCCUAACAAAAGGUCCAGUCAGGCAGCCAGCUCUCUCUUUUGGACUCUCUUGCCAUCUUUCUCCUCUCAGAGCCACUUGCUUCUCUUGAACUGCACUGCUGGGAUGAAGCCACACCUUUCUACUAUAUGUAUCUAUAACUACAAGCCAAAGCCUGCCUUCAGGGAUCAUACUGUGAACUGAAUUUCCCCAAAAUGGAUGGCGGCUCGGACAGCUCCCUGAGCGUAGACAAUGAAGGUUAUGAGAGUGACUCCUUGGGGGACUCUGGAAACCUCUCGGAUGUGUUCCCCCGAAAUGGAUAUUGGUGACUCUGAAGUUGUGUGCAGGAGGACCACAAAUGGGAAGAAACCCCUUGCCCCCCAGAGAGACCCUGGCUCAGACAGCCUGCUGAACUUAGACCAUGAAGUUUGCUAGAGCAACACAUCGUGGGACUCAGGAGACCUCAAAGGAGGUAAGUGGCAGACAGAAGAGGAGGGAAGACCAGGUAGGGAUGGCGAAGGACAGCUUUGCAGGAUCAGGCCAGGUUGUAGAGGAUUCUGGGAGUCUCUCCCCUCUUCCCAGCACUGCUGACAGGGCUUCUCCCUCUUCCUCCACGGUUCCCCGAAAUGGAUAUCGGCGGAGUUCAUUUCAGCAUUUCUACUGGCUCAACACUUUCUGGGUUUUCUUUGGGGGAAUUUUUUUUGCCUCGAUUGACAGCGGUUUUCCAUUUCACCUCUCGACAUGGAGGCGCACUUUGGCUCUACAAAACAUCUGCUCAAAAAACAAGAACGAGCAGACUUGUCUCCAAAUCAUUUUUCUUUACAUUUGAACAUUUAAAGUUUCAAGACCGGGAGCUGCACACAGGCAAGACAUGUCACCAGGGUGACCUGCAGCUGGUAAGUGUUGCUGGUGGAGGGUUUUAAUGCCUAGGGAAGCAUGGUGACUGACAGUCACCUGUCCAGAUAAUCAGGCACCCAGGAAAAGAAAGCUAACCUCUCCGGUUUUGAUUGGAAACAAUGUAAAGGCUGUUUUCCAAUUGGAGCGCUCGCAGGCCAGUGUUU